GUCUGGCUGGCUCAGUCAGUAGAGCAUGCGACUCUUGAUCCUGAAGUCGUGAGUUUGAGUCCCAUGUUGGGUG
rnacentral:tRNA from 1 species